GAUGAACGCUGGCGGCGUGCCUAAUACAUGCAAGUCGAGCGAACAGACGAGGAGCUUGCUCCUCUGACGUUAGCGGCGGACGGGUGAGUAACACGUGGAUAACCUACCUAUAAGACUGGGAUAACUUCGGGAAACCGGAGCUAAUACCGGAUAAUAUAUUGAACCGCAUGGUUCAAUAGUGAAAGACGGUUUUGCUGUCACUUAUAGAUGGAUCCGCGCCGCAUUAGCUAGUUGGUAGGGUAACGGCUUACCAAGGCAACGAGGCGUAGCCGACCUGAGAGGGGGGGAGGCGGCAUGGGAGAGGAACCGGGGCCCAGACUCCGGGGGGAGGGACAAGAGGGAACCUUGCGGAAAGGGGGGAGCGCCUGAGGGAACACGCCGGAGGGGGAGACAAGGUCUUUGGGUGCGGAAAGCCGGUUUUUGGGGAAAAAACAAAUUUGGAGUAAAAAGCGCCGUUUUGGACGGAACCGAAUAAAAAAGCACCGGCAAACUACGUC
rnacentral:rRNA from 1 species